GGGCCGGCUGGGGCGGGGCAGCGGCGCGCGUUCCCCGCCGGCCACACCGGCCGCCUUGCGCCCGCCGAGGGGCGUGUGCUCGGGCCCGGAAUCCUUGGGCCCCAUGUUCACGGAGCUGAGGACCAAGCUGAGCCCCCCGCGAGGCCGCGCCGGGGCUGUGCGUGCCGGCUUCGGGGAGCGCCGGGAUGUGGACGCCGCUGCCCAUUUGAGCUUCUGCCGAACCCUCCUGGAACACACGGUGUCUGCCGAGAGCAUCCCCUGCCACCUGCCUCGGACGCCAGGCACCAGCCUCACGUGGCAUGAUUCCCGUAGCCAGAGGGCCGCCGGUGGCCGGCCAGUCAAGCUCCUGCAGCAGCCGGGCGCGGAAGCCCCCCAGGCCCGGCUGUACUCCGACCACUACGGCCUGUACCACACAAGCCCCUCCCUGGGUGGCCUGACAAGGCCUGUGGUCCUGUGGAGUCAGCAGGACGUGUGCAAGUGGCUCAAGAAGCACUGUCCCCACAACUACCUCGUCUAUGUGGAGGCCUUCUCCCAGCAUGCCAUCACAGGCCGGGCGCUGCUGCGGCUGAACGGGGAGAAGCUGCAGCGGAUGGGGCUGGCGCAGGAGGCCCAGCGGCAAGAGGUGCUGCAGCAGCUGCUGCGUCUGCAGGUGCGCGAGGAGGGGCGGAGCCUGCAGCUGCUCAGCCAAGCCUCCUUCGGAAACACGUCCUAGCCGCUGCCUGAGGCUCGAACCCCAGACCCCAGCACUGUGACCAGAGCCUGUGGCAAGGGCGAUGCAGAGCUGGCCCACAGCCCCUCUCGGACCCCGCCAGAGGCGCCAGGGGCUGAGCCCAGCCCAGUGGACAGGACCAGGUGGGGAGGAGAGGCAGAGGCUGGAACCCUGGGCUCGGCCCUGCGGACUGCACCCAGACGCACGGACACAGGUGCGUUACUUUCCCGGGGCCGCUAGAACAAAGGACCACAACCGGGAAGCUUCUCACAGCGGAAACGGAUUCUGUUCUGGCCACGCAGGCCACUGGUCUGAAACCCACCAGGGUCACACUGCCUCCUGGAGCACAGGGUGGAGCCUUCCUCACCUCUCCCAGCUUCUGGCGGCUGCCCCAGGGAUUCCUGGGCUCUGGCGGGUCACUCCGGCCCAGCCUCUGUGCUCACGUCCCCUUCUGCCUCUGUCAAAUCUCCCUCCCCCGGGGAGACCUGUCACGGGAUUUAAGGCCCACCUGGACAAUCCAGGAUGGUCUUCUCACCUCAAGACCCUUCCCUUCAGCAGAUCUGCAAAGACCUGCUUUUCCAAAUAAGGUCGUAUUCAUGGGUUCCAGGGAUGUGACAUGGCAACCUUCCAGGGUCCCCAUUAAGUGCCCUGCACAGGGUAACGCUCUGACAUAAGAAACAGGUCCCAACACCCCCGACACAGGUACCUGCACAGCAACCAGACACACGGUAACAGAGAGGCACACACUGACCCCUGGAGUCUGGACACAGAAACACAGGGACGCUGGUAUCCAGAACCACAGGACGCCCUGAUGCAGUGACCCCCUAACGUACAAAACACACUCGGAGCACAGCACACAGUGCCCUACAUCCAGACACGCUGUGGCCUAGACGCCCACCUGCUAAGACACAGGAGUCCCCCCCGCCCCCGCACAUGUCUUGCAUCUGGUCAUCCAGAUACUAACACACUAACAGGCGUCCUCUCCUAGUGCAGGACACACAGACAUACCCUGACAUCAGGUGUCUACACAGGACACAGCCCAGCACAUGUGGUCACUCAGACACACACCUACUACUGGGCAUGGUUACACACGUGGCCAUGCAGAGUUACUCGGGGAAAGGUGACAAGAAAGCUAUCUGCAUCUCCUGCGCGAACUGACCCCUCCCCAAAUCCUGCCUGUCCUGCCCCCAGUGUGGGCAUGCUCAGUAAGGGACGGAGGGCCCUCCCUCUUCCUCCUGGGGUCACAUGGGCCUUUCUCCGGCUCUGAUUUUCCAGGAAGGUCCAGCCUCCUGAGUCUUCCACAGAGGGCCCCCACCCCUCUCUCCGGGAGCACUCUGUGCCGGCCACUAGGGAAGCAAGAGUCCUGUGAGGAGAGGCAGAGCCCAAUCUGACCUUUUGUGCUCUGCCCCCUAGCAAUGCACCCAACCUGUUCCAGGGCAGACAGGGGUGAAGUGGGGAUCGGAAUAGGGGGUGGGAGACACUUGGAGAAGGCAGUGCACACUGUAACCAUGUCCCACCUAGUACCUCUUCCCCUGCUCCGUUUUUUCCCAACUCCUGGUAGGGUUGGGGCCCCAUUUCCCCCAGACCUGAUACCGGGGUGCCCUCCCAGGCCUGGGUUCUGGGGCCCUGCGGAGCAAAGCACAACUGAUCUAGGCUCACCGCCGCCGGAAGCACACGGAGGCUGCUGCAAUGGUCAGUAGCCCAAAUAGGGUCCAUGGCCUCAAACUGCCUAGCACUGCUAGGAGCCGGGCGGUGCCAUGACUGUGGCCACAGACAGAGGUGGUCACGGGGCUCCUUGGAAGACCCCCCAGAUCCUGCUUUGCAGUCGCAGGGCUCCCAAGGGCCAGGGGUUCGGCUCCCAGAGGACGGUGGUCUCCAUGGCUGCAGCUUCCCAGAGCCAGCACCUAGAGGCAUCUGCUCGCUUCAGUCCGGGUACGCUGGGCUUUGGGCAGUUCCCAACACCCCUAUAGUGCCUCAGUUUACCCCACUGUCUGAAAACCGUCCCCUGCCCUACGGGGCGGCAUAACUGGCCACUUGGCACUGGAGCCCCAGUCGAC